AUACGGAGGGUGCAAGCGUUAUCCGGAUUCAUUGGGUUUAAAGGGUGCGUAGGCGGCUGUAUAAGUCAGUGGUGAAAAUAUCGGGCUCAACCCGAUACGUGCCAUUGAUACUGUAUAGCUUGAAUCACAUCGACGCGGGAGGAAUGCGACAAGUAGCGGUGAAAUGCUUAGAUAUGUCGCAGAACACCGAUAGCGAAGGCAUCUCGCGAGGUUUAGAUUGACGCUGAGGCACGAAAGCGUGGGUAUCAAACAGGAUUAGAUACCCUGGUAGUCCACGCUGUAAACGAUGAUAACUGGGUUUUUGUGGUGUAACCAUGAGAGCCUCAAGCGAAAGCAUUAAGUUAUCCACCUGGGGAGUACGUUCGCAAGUAUGAA
rnacentral:rRNA from 1 species